rnacentral:snRNA from 1 species
AUUCUCUGGCAAUCCCCUUAAAUGCGGAUAAAUCUUACGUCUUUUACUAAAGACUUCCGUGUGGGGUUGCAGUACAUUGAGUUUAUGUAUACUAUUUGAGUUUGGGGAAUCUUCAAG